GCUGCUUCUGGGCAAUAGGGAGGGAGUGCAACUGAAGUAUAGCCUCUUCACUUAGCAGAGGACAGAGCUGUACUCCUCAGAGCUUCAGCUCAGUGCUGUCUAAUUACUAGGAGGCAUCCAGAUAUAGGUAAUCAAUCAACCUCCACAGAAGAGCAUUCCCAAUCCAACUGAAACUAAAAGUGAGAUGGAAGAAGAAUCAGAGAGACAUGAAGCAAGGCUCAGAAAGGAAAAAAGGAAGAGAGUUUCCAAGUCACAGCCCUACUAUCCUGUUCAAUGAGGGCCCUACAAUAAAAUAUGACCAUUUCUUUAUGGUGUUAAAAUGGCUUGAAGCUUCCCACAACACUGGAAAAGCAAGAUACUGUUUCCUCUGAGAGGGUGUUUGUUGUUGUUGUUAUUUAUUUUCCCCAUUAACUACUGGAUAUAAAGUCAAUUGAAUUUAACAGAAAGACAUCUGUUGGUUUCAAGGGGCUUGGAAUCAGGCCCCAAGGGAGCAACUGCUAUUGGACUUCCAUUCCGACAUUGGAGGACGAUCCAGCUGCUUCCAGUGUUCCAGUACAAAAUUUGGUACAGGCAGUCCCAGAAAAUGGGUGGGCUGGGAGCAGAUACUGCAGUGAUGUGGCAUCUACUCUUCAGGCAGCAUCUCUCUCUCUCAUUGGUCCCUGAUGAAUCUGAGCCACCAUGGAGAAUCAACCAGGAGGCAGACCAGGGCAGUGGUACGGUAUAGAAGGUGCUUGAGAGCUACUAAUGAACCUUAACUCCAGGGCCUAAUACAAUGGCCCUGAGCUUGACUCUGUGGAAUGCUUUCUGAAAAAUCCUGGAGAGAUAGAACUCUGGCCUGUACUUCAGCAGCGUGUUAAAUGGAAGGAAAAGGAGUAUGCCUAAUUUGCUCUGCUAUCCCGGUUACAUAAGCACCUAAAGAAAAUAAACAGGUAUUGACUCAAAUCCCGAUCUGAAAGGUUGGAAGAAACUCCCAAAUAUCACAUUGACUUCCAAAUGUUGUACAUCAGCAUACUGAUCAGAGUGCUGCAGAUCUUGUCGAGCUUCAGCCAAUCUCACCUAU